AGAGAGAGACAUGCGCGCAUAUCAAUAAGCGGAGGAAAAGUAACUAACAAGGAUUCCCCUAGUAACGGCGAGUGAAGCGGGAAGAGCUCAAAUUUGAAAUCUUAAAGGGUUUCCCUUUACGAAUUGUAGUUUAAAGAAGUGUUUUCUGUUGAGGUUUUGGUAAAAGUUCUUUGGAAUAGGACAUCAUAGAGGGUGAGAAUCCCGUAUUUGACCUUUACUUUCAACUUUGUGAUACACUUUCAAAGAGUCGGAUUGUUUGGGAAUGCAGUCCAAAAUGGGUGGUAAAUUUCAUCUAAAGCUAAAUAUUGGCGAGAGACCGAUAGCGAACAAGUACCGUGAGGGAAAGAUGAAAAGAACUUUGAAAAGAGAGUUAAACAGUACGUGAAAUUGUCAAAAGGGAAGCGUUUGACACCAGUGUUGUUUUUCUGAAAAUCAAUUAAAGAACUGUUUAUGCUAAGUUGUUUAGACUUUAUCAGCUAACUGUUUAGUUUUGAGCUUUUCUUUAAUGCACUUUUCAGUUAACAAGUCAACAUCAAUUUCUUUUGCUGUAAAAAAGCUUGAGGAAGGUGGCUUGAGAUUCGUCUUAAGUGUUUAUAGCCUCUUGCCUAUGCAGUCGGAGAGAUUGAGGUCUGCAGCGUAGAUCCUUCGGGGCUAAAUGCAUUUGUGCUAAGUUAUAACAUUUUAUAGACAACUUGUUGACUAUGAUUUGUCUUGUAGCUUACUCGCUUAUGUUAUUUUACCUACGCUUAGGAUGUUGACGCAUGAGAUAUACGC
rnacentral:rRNA from 1 species